AAUCUAUGAAUAUGAGUUUACAAGGUAGCACCUUUAGGUGUUUAGGUUCACAGUUACUUUAAUGCGUGCUGACUCACAAGCUGUAAAACGCAUCACAAGUCAAAAUAGUUAUUUGAGACAUAGACGUUACACCACUAGGUGGCACUAUUUGGCAACCUGAUACCUGUGCUGACUUCAAGGAUUAGGUUGUCUUUGUUGGGUAUUCUAUGAGGCAGGAUCUCUCUCCUUAGCCCUACUGAUUUGAAACUCGUUGUGUCUGAACAGUGUGCUCUCAAACUCGAGGCAUUUCUCCUGCCUCUGUGUCUUGAGCGUGGGAAUUCCCGCUGCGAGCCGCCACAUUCUGCUAGAUCACGGUUCUGUUGUACUUCGCCACACUCCACCAUUAUUCCGAAGGGUUGGUUGGGAUGACAGGCUUGAGCCACAACCCCGUCCAUUCAAGAGUACUCAUUACAGGAUUUCCAUUAACAGUGAAGUUGUGAAAAACUUCAAUCACUAGCAAAUGAAAACUGAAGCAGGCUGAAAUAAACACUAUGGACUGCACCAGCAACCGGCCAGGGCAGCAUCUGAGACUCAGAAAAAUCUUCAGGAUAAAUUGUCAGGAAACCUGGAACUGGCAAGCAAGCCCACAGACUGGAGGCCGGAAGUCGAUGACCAGAGUGCCAGCAGCACAGACCAAACUGGGAGGAAUCCAUUCUGGGUUGUGGAUGGCCACCUGCUUGCCGGGUUCUCACGUGGCCAGGAGUCCAAGUGAGCAGGAUUGCCCACCUCUUCCUCAUGCAGCGUGAGGGAGGGACUGAACCCAGGGCUUGUGUUUGCCAGACCGGCAGUCCUUCCGCUGAGCUCCACCCCGCCACCCAUUUUCUCACAUGGCCACUGGACUUUACUGUUUUCUUCCCCAACAUAAUUUUAUUAAUCAUUUCAGACAACGUACCCUGGUUACAUUUGUUUCCCAUUCUUCUCACCCUUGUGUCCCAGCCCAAAAAGAAAAGAAAAGAAAAAACAAAACACCCAACUGAAUCUGAUUUGUGUUGCUCAUAUACUCAUUGGAGCGUGGUCAAAUUCCCAGCGACCAGCCCUUUAGAGAUAGCUAAGUUCCCUCCCCCACCCCACCCCUAAUCCCACCCCCGCCCCCAUCAGAAGCCAUGGACUGUCAAGAGCUACACUUCGGCAUCUAUAUCACAAUUUUAAGGACUCUCUUCCACAGUUUCACUUCUGGACUGUUUCUUGUGGGAGAGGGGAGGUUGGCAGAAAAGACUUCAAAAAUCUCUCAAUCUCAGUUGAGGUCUGCGCUCAAGCACUGUAACGGAAGCUUGCUUGCCCACAGCAGCUUGCGGCGUCGAGAGUGAUGGACAGCGCAUGUCCUCUGGCUGGCAGCAUGGAUCUCAGACACAGAUGUGGAUUCAGCGGCACCCAGGACCUCUAAGGUCAACACGUCCUCCAGUCACAGCACUGAUCAUAGAAGUCUUUCAAGGGGACAACUCAGAAAACGAACCGUUCUUCAUCUCAGACAUUUCGUUGCUCGGAGUCAGGGUGAUCAUGGGAUUGGGCAGCCUGUGUGGGGAACAGGAGUGGGGGUGGGGGCCACCUAGAAGAGCCGCGACUCCAUGCUGUGGGCUAGGCAGGCGGGAGCCGCGUGAGGUGGAUGCAAUAAUGGCCGGAGCCUCCAGGGGCCUAGGAGAACCUCCUCUACUGGGCAAUGACUUGCUCCUUUGUCCGCUGCUGCCGGGCUCCCGGCUCCCGUACCCAUCGCUACCCAGUCUCGUCUCCCUCUGUCGUGCUGCUCUGUUCUACAGCUGAAAAAUAAAUAUUUGGGGGUGGGGCACAAGUCAUCGAACUUUUCAUAGUUUCUAUCUCUGUGCCGAAAUUCCCUCUCUUACUGUACUCACUGUCAACUUUCCCCACCAGAUCUUUUAAUGUAUUGUUACACUUUUUAAAAUUCUUCUCUGCUAAUUUGAAUACUCAGAUCGUAUGCAAAUCUGCUUCUGUUGCUUCUGCCUAGUAUAAUUUUUUUUCCUUCUGAAUCGUUUUCUCUGCUGUUCUUCCAGCAGGAAACGCAAUGCCUCAUACAGGCUGGAGGACGCAAUGCCUCCACUUUUGUUCAUUGAAAAAAAAUUUUGAUGCUGUUUCAUAUUUAUGUGUUUGUGAGUGCACGCUCGUGCAUAUGUGUGCAUGUGUGUGCAUGUUAUGUGUACAUGUGAGUAGAGAAGGACACGCAGUGCCCUGUUCCAUCACUCCCCACCGUAUUCCAUUGAGGAAGGGCCUCCCUGAAGCUGGACCUCUCAUUUUCCAGCAAACCUUACACCAGCAAUCUGCAGUGACUUCCUUUCUCCAUCCCACCCUGCAAUGUGGUCUCAGGGAUCCUCAGGGCCACGCCCAGUUUGUUCUGUGGGAGCUGGAAUCCAAACUCUGGUCUUUGUAGUCAUAAAAACAAGCACUCUGACUUGCUAGACCGUUACUCCAACCUGAAAAGGUUUUCAAUGUUAUUGAAGAAUGGAUGGCUCAAUCGGUAAUGUGCCUGGAGCUGCACAGACAUGAGGAUUUGAGUUAAGAUCCCCAGUUCUCAUGUAAAGCUGGGCAUAGCUCUUGUAGCUGACCUCAGUGCUGUGUCAGGGGUCACAACAGGUGGCUCCCUGGAGCUUCUUGUCCAGCCAACCUAGCCAAAUAGAUGAGUUCUGGAUUGAUUAAUAGACCUCACGUCUAACAGUAGAGUAGCACACUAUUGAGCAAGACUUCCGGCCUUUAGACUCAUGCGUAUACUCAUAUCUGCACACAAACAAGUAACUCUGGGCACACACAGGUAAAUACACACACACACACUAAAAUCAAGGGCCUUUACCUGCUGAGUCAUCUCCCCAGAUUCUGUUACUUUUAAGUGUUAUAUUGUUUCCCUUUCAGAUUUUAUUGAAUACAUCAUGUUUACUGGGGUUUUGUUUGUUUCUAUUCAAGAAUGUAACUUGUUACUUGCUCCACCUGGUGAAAUUUUUUAGAUUCUAUGUUUCCAUUUCUAAAACUUUAGUUUGGUUCAUUUGUUUGUUUAAUUUUUCUGUUAUUAAAAUUUCCGUUAUAAUUAGAUAUCGAAUGGUUUAUGACUCAUUGAAGGCUUGGUCUCCGGCAGUUGGCAAGCAUAAGAGGUAAUUUGAUCAUGACUGUGUUAUCUUAUCAAUGACCAGUUCAUAGUUCAACCGGCUUACUAGGGCUUAACUCUGUGUGUGUGUGUGUGUGUGUGUUUGUGUGUGUGUAUGUCCCAGGGUGGGGGAGGGGCAGCUAGGGAGUGACUUGAAAGGUCUGCUCUGGCUACUGACCUCUUUCUCUUGUGCUUGUCUUUUCUCAGUAGAGCCCAUUAACCAUGGACAGAAAACUCUAAAACCUUGAGUCAAAAUGAACUUUGCAUCUCCCGAAUUGUCUUUCUCAGGCUGUGCAGUCAGUUUUCUGUCAACCUGACACAAGCUAAGAGCAUUUGGGAAGAGGAUGUCUCAAGUGAGAAGACCCAAGCCACUGUGGGUGGAACCUUCCCUGGGUUGGCAGUCCUAGGUUCUAUAAGAAAGCAGGCUGAGCAAGCCAUGGGGAGAAAGCCAGUAAGCAGCAUCCCCUCCAUGGCCUCUGCAUCAGCUCCUCCCUCCAGGUUCUGACUUUAAGUUCUUACCCUGGCUUCUACUGACAACUGCCUGUACAGUAGAAAUGAAAGCUAAAUAAAUCCCUUUCUCUUCAA